UACGUAGGGGGCUAGCGUUGCUCGGAAUCACUGGGCGUAAAGCGCACGUAGGCGGGUUGCCAAGUCGGGGGUGAAAUCCUGGAGCUCAACUCCAGAACUGCCUUCGAUACUGGCGAUCUUGGAGUCCGGGAGAGGUGAGUGGAACUGCGAGUGUAGAGGUGAAAUUCGUAGAUAUUCGGAAGAACACCAGUGGCGAAGGCGGCUCACUGGCCCGGUACUGACGCUGAUAUGCGAAAGCGUGGGGAGCAAACAGG
rnacentral:rRNA from 1 species